rnacentral:rRNA from 1 species
UGACGAAGCGACGCCGCGUGUGGGAAGAAGGCCUUCGGGUUGUAAACCACUGUCGGGAGUUAGGAAAUGCAGGUGCGUUAAUAGCGCACUUGCUUGACUAAGGCUCCAGGGGAAGCCACGGCUAACUCUGUGCCAGCAGCCGCGGUAAUACAGAGGCGGCAAGCGUUGUUCGGAAUUAUUGGGCGUAAAGAGCACGUAGGCGGCCUUGCAAGUCAGUUGUGAAAGCCUUCCGCUUAACGGAAGAACGGCAUCUGAUACUACAGGGCUUGAGUACGGGAGGGGAGAGUGGAACUUCUGGUGGAGCGGUGAAAUGCGUAGAUAUCAGAAGGAACGCCGGCGGCGAAAGCGACUCUCUGGUCCGAAACUGACGCUGAGUGUGCGAAAGCUAGGGGAGCAAACGGGAUUAGAUACCCCGGUAGUCCUAGCCGUAAACGAUGGGCACUAAGUAGAGGGGUUUUGAUUAUUUCUCUGCCGGAGCUAACGCAUUAAGUGCCCCGCCUGGGGAGUACGGCCGCAAGGCUAAAACUCAAAAGAAUUGACGGGGGCUCGCACAAGCGGUGGAGCAUGUGGCUUAAUUCGAUGCAACGCGAAGAACCUUACCGGGGCUUGACAUGGUAGAAGUAGAAUCCUGAAAGGGUGACGAUCGGUAUCCAGUAAGAAGCUAUCACAGGUGUUGCAUGGCUGUCGUCAGCUCGUGUCGUGAGACGUUGGGUUAAGUCCCCUAACGAGCGAAACCCUUGUCUUUAGUUGCUAACGGGUAAUGCUGAGCACUUUAGAGAGACUGCCGUCGUUAAGACGGAGGAAGGUGGGGACGACGUCAAGUCAUCAUGGCCCUUAUGUCCCGGGCUGCACACGUGCUACAAUGGUCGGUACAAAGGGAUGCUAAGUCGCGAGAUGGUGCGAAACCUAUAAAGCCGAUCUCAGUUC